rnacentral:rRNA from 1 species
AUGCUUCUACUUUUUGUAUGGAGCUGGGAGCGUCUGCCUGUUGGACGCCCGAAGAGCGUCGGGUUUAAUCCUUGGUAUGAAGAUGAAGAUGACGAAUUACGGCGCCCCACUUGGGCUUACAAGUGGGAUGUGGUUUCCGAGAUGACGAACGAUGUCAAUCUCAUGUACCAGAAGUAUGUUGCCGAGUUGGACACGAUUACACCUGAGCAGGUAACGAGGUCAUUAGUUCAGUCAUUUCUCAUGUUUGCCUGA